AUGUUUUGUUCUUUGGCACAUAAUAGGUGUACAGCCUCUUAUAUAUUCUUUCAUUCUUGAGUUCCAUUCCCUGUAUUAUACACUUUAUUAAUCACAUUUGUUCUUCUCUAACAGCCGAAGAAAGGCAAAUUGAAUUCAUUGGCAAAAGUGCAGGUUGGAGAUACAGUAAAGAAGAGUGAGGGUAAAAAGACUAACAGAGAGCCAUAAUGGAAGAAGAGGAUCCAGUUGCUAAUAAAGAACCCAUUUGGGGACAAAAUGAAGUUGAAGGUACGAAAUGAGAACAAUUAAAUUCUGGGAAGUGUCUCUGUGCCCCUGUUGAACAUAAUGGCUGCCAAGGAUAUGACCAUUGAGGACUGGUUCCCCCUGAAGUCCAAAGCAAAGAACAAUUUUGGCCCCUCGCACUUUUCGUGUGAAGCCAUGGAACCAAAAACCAAAAUCGCCAAGCUCUGCUGGGCACUGCAGCAACCAGCAGGCAAGUCAAGAUCAGCUUGGUUGCUAUGAGCAAGUAGACCUGGCACAAACACAGGGCACUUAAAAGGAUGAAGGAAGAGGACGAUUUAAUACAAAUAUGAAGUUUUUAUAAUUGAAGCCAAAUAUUCUGGUUCACAACAUAUGAAGUUCAGCUUAAGACAAAUUCAGACUUUCUCACCAUAAAUGUUAUGGGUUUUGCUCUGGAAAUCAGAAAUGCCCAGAGGGAAGGAUGUGUUGCCUUCUGCUUCCUUCCUCCAUAACAACUCUAAAUUGUGUACUCCAUGAUGUGCCAUUGGGGAUAAAGUGACCCCGCCUAGCCCUGUGGUAAAGGAGGGUCUGAAGACAUAUGCCCCUGAUGUACCUUCUAGCUGGGGAUAAAGGGACCUUCACUAGCCUUGCUGUGAAGUAGGGUCUAAAGACAUUUUCCCCUAAUGUGCCCUUGGGAAUAAAGGGACCCUCCCUAGCCUUGCAGCUAAGGAGGGUAGAAGACACUUGCCCUGGAUGUGCCAUUCAGGAUAAAGGGACCCUUCCUAGACUUGCAGUGAAGGAGGGUCUAAAGACACUCGCCCCUGAUGUGCCAUUGAGGAAAAAUAAGCUGCCCUAGGCCCGGGUCUUUGUGGCCUUUCCACAAAUCCGGGCCUAGGGAGGGGGACAAAAUGAUCACUUUGAAUGGAAACUGAAACUGCCUCUUGCAUGACAUGUAUUUAUUGCUUAAAAUGUCAGUGCUAGGUGCAAUAAGCCCCUGUCAUUUGACACCUGCAGCUGAAAAUUCCCAUAGACUCCAAUGUAUUGCAAAAAGAGUUGCAUCCCUGACAUUUGCCAGCAACAUAACACGGAACACAAUACAGUUAUUACAGGACUGACAGUAGUUUAUAGUACAUAGCCCCAAAGCCCCAAAAAUGGACCCAAAGUAAGUAUUAAUAAAGGACUCAACAGGCCAAACAACCCACUAGCAAUAGGCAUAGCUUCAAGGAACUGUACCUGCUACAUAAUCUAUGCCUUAUACAGGGUCCCAGAACAGCAACUUCUCCCCCAUGACCUUUUAUGCCACGUCUGUCCUACAUUAAUAGCCUCUCUACAAACAAGGGACCCCUGGGAGCUCCUACAGCUUGACUCUUGACCAUAAUUGGCUCUGUAUCUGUAGUGUGCUAAUAGUUUGUUCUGAUGGGGUUUUCCAAAAGACGCCAGGUCUGAAGCCAUAACCGAGGACACGGAUAUCCCUAUGGGCACCAGUCAUUCUGGGACAGCUCUGAUGAUGAACAUGAACUGCCCUGCACAUUUUCAGUGCUAAGUAAAUCCACUUCCACCAAUGAAAUGCAAUAUGACGGAUGCAAAUAAAGAGAAAGUGUUUCCUUUGACAGAAGCAUAAGCAGAUCAAUAGCAAGAUAUUUGGCUCUCCAAAUAAAGGAUUUCACACUUUCAAAUAUAUAGAGGUUUUUUUUUACUCUUUUUUUAUUUUUAAAUCUAUAUGUGUAGCUGUUAUAAAGCACAGUGGUGCCUAUAAUUCCAGGCUUCUAGCUCCAAUGUGCUAAUUAUGCCUAUUAAGUGAGUGAAAUGUAUGGCGCGGAGAUCAGGGAUAUAAGUCAGCCUUUCAUUUAAAAGGUGACAUUGACCAGGUUUAAAGUAGCAACACAUUUCACUAAGGAAGCAACUGGCACAAUGGGUCUAAAUUCGAAUUUUAAACCCUAAGGAAAAUGAAUCAUAUUCUUCUACUGGAGAAAGGCCAACAUUCCUCCCAUUAAUGCUCUCUGAACUCUUAUGGGCUCUUAUGGGACCCUCGGCCCCACUGGAUCUGUGCAACCUGAAGGAACAAUAACAUCAAGGACUGUAGUCUGUGACUUGGCAACACAUGGACUUUCUGUGGGGCAACUCUUAUGAACUUGAAAUGGCAUCAAUAUCUUGUGUUAAUUGCUUAAAAAAAUUACUAGAAAAUCAUAUCCCUGAACUCUAGAUUGUCUUGCCAGAUAAAUAUGCCAUGUUAUGGUUUAUGGGCCAUGAAGGCCUAAUACAGUGACUGUGCCCACAACUGUAUCUCACCAUGUCAUUCCAUGCUUCCCAUCUGGUGUCCAGUAAACAGCAAUGUCAUAGUUUGAAAUCUUUCUGUGGCCAGAAGAUGUUCAGAGUCCUCCUCAGACUUGUGGUAUGGCAGGCUGGCAGUUUGGCUAGGUCACUUUCUGUCAUGUGCUUGAACGCUGAGCCAUAAAGCAGUGUUGACAAGAUACAACUUUGGUACAGGCUUAGAUUGGUGUUAAUUCUGUAGUGGGUGGACUUGCAAAAUUCCAAGCUCUCAUGAUGUUUCUGGCUUUGCUGAGUCUUCUGAGGUUGUAUUCAGUGUCACCAUCUAUUCGCACAAUACAACCAAGGUAAGUGAAACAUUUUGUAAAUGGCUGUACUUUGCCAUUAAUCUUCAGUUGCUUGUGUUUCCUAGUCCAUAAUUUCAGUUUUCAUUGUUGCAUCAACCCUUCUGCCAUAGUUUCAACAAUAUACAGUACAGAAUAUAAGUGUUCACCCCCAAAUCCAACUAUUUGACCUUCUUGCUAAGCUUCCAUGACUAUCGGAAGAGCAGUUGGACAUUUUCCCUAUAUCACACCAUAACUGGAUGAGCCCCCUAACCUUUAUGCAAGGGGGGCAGCCCAACAGUUUGGGAACCACUUACCAUAAUAGUUUUUAUUUGAUUGAGAUCAAAUCUAAAUCUUAUAUAAAUGCUAUGGUUUUAGUGCAAACUUACAUAGGAACAUACAUAUUAACACAGUAAAUAAGGCUUAGAUGGACUUAUGUCCAUAAAAAUCAACAUUCGUUUACUCAGCAAGCCUACCAGUUGAACCAGAGGGAAGGUUCACAACUUCCUUGUUGAUCUCUUGACAAAUCACCUAACUCACCUGUUUCAGCCAAACUACACUUAAAAGCUUAAGUUAAGGUUCAAUUUGGUGAUUGCAAUGAAAAUUCCCAUUGACUCCAAUGUAUUUUGCUUGUAAAAAGUUGCCAUGAAAAAACACCCAUUGACUUCAAUGAGUUUUGCAAAUUUUCACAGAUUAUUGGGGAUCAGCAUUGUGACCAAAGAAUUGGUUUAUGAUGGAUUAAUUUCAUUUAUCUGUUGUUGGAAGAAAUGUCUCUGUAGGGGAUCAUGGGGACCCGCAAUAAACUGCAUGGGGGCCAGUAGAGCAGGAUGACAUUUAUAUUUGGGGAGGCUACCAAUAGAAGGCUCUCCAUUGGGGUACUUCUAUAUAAAUAUAUAGCAAUCAGUGUCUCUCUAUAGUGACUAAGCUGCCUUAAUCUCUACCUAUGAUGAAGACCCAUUUUGGGCCCCAGCCUUUAUGUCAAGAAUCCCUUUUUAAAGGAACACUGUUAUCGGUACUUUUAUUCUGAAGGACUUGAGAAUGGCAAGAGAUCUGGGAUUUGGCACCUUCUUGUACAAUAGCAACAUGGCAGCAUGCCAUGGGCUCCAUCUGGAAAGCUAUGCAGUUAUUACAGGAUAGA